GAUGAACGCUGGCGGCGUGCCUAAUACAUGCCAGUCGAGCGAACAGACGAGGAGCUUGCUCCUCUGACGUUAGCGGCGGACGGGUGAGUAACACGUGGAUAACCUACCUAUAAGACUGGGAUAACUUCGGGAAACCGGAGCUAAUACCGGAUAAUAUAUUGAACCGCAUGGUUCAAUAGUGAAAGACGGUUUUGCUGUCUCUUAUAGAUGGAUCCGCGCCGCAUUAGCUAGUUGGUAAGGUAACGGCUUACCAAGGCAACGAUGCGUAGCCGACCUGAGAGGGUGAUCGGCCACACUGGAACUGAGACACGGUCCAGACUCCUACGGGAGGCAGCAGUAGGGAAUCUUCCGCAAUGGGCGAAAGCUUGACGGAGCAACGCCGCGUGAGUGAUGAAGGUCUUCGGAUCGUAAACUCUGUUAUUAGGGAAGAACAAAUGUGUAAGUAACUAUGCACGUCUUGACGGUACCUAAUCAGAAAGCCACGGCUAACUACGUG
rnacentral:rRNA from 1 species